AGGGUUUGAUCAUGGCUCAGAACGUACGCUGGCGGCACGCCUAACACAUGCAAGUCGAACGCAGUAGCAAUACUGAGUGGCAGACGGGUGAGUAACAUGUGGGAAUCUGCCUUGUGGUUCAGGACAACAUUGGGAAACCGAUGCUAAUACUGGAUAAGCCCUUACGGGGAAAGUUUUAAUGCCAUAAGAUGAGCCCGCAUUUGAUUAGUUAGUUGGUGAGGUAAUGGCUCACCAAGACAAUGAUCAAUAGCUGAUCUGAGAGGAUGAUCAGCCACACUGGGACUGAGACACGGCCCAGACUCCUACGGGAGGCAGCAGUGGGGAAUCUUGCACAAUGGAGGAAACUCUGAUGCAGCGAUGCCGCGUGAGUGAAGAAGGCCUUUGGGUUGUAAAGCUCUUUUGUAGGGGAAGAUAAUGACUGUACCCUAAGAAUAAGGUCCGGCUAACUUCGUGCCAGCAGCCGCGGUAAUACGAAGGGACCUAGCGUAGUUCGGAAUUACUGGGCGUAAAGCGCGCGUAGGCCGUUGAGUUAGUUAAUUGUGAAAUCCCAAAGCUUAACUUUGGAACUGCAAUUAAAACUGCUCGACUAGAGUUUGAUAGAGGAAAGCGGAAUACAUAGUGUAGAGGUGAAAUUCGUAGAUAUUAUGUAGAACACCAGUUGCGAAGGCGGCUUUCUGGAUCAACACUGACGCUGAGGCGCGAAAGUAUGGGUAGCAAAGAGGAUUAGAUACCCUCGUAGUCCAUACCAUAAACGAUGAUUGCUAGAUGUUGGAAAUUUAUUUUCAGUAUCGCAGCUAACGCAUUAAGCAAUCCGCCUGGGGAGUACGACCGCAAGGUUAAAACUCAAAUGAAUUGACGGGGACCCGCACAAGCGGCGGAGCAUGCGGAUUAAUUCGAUGCAACGCGAAGAACCUUACCAAGGCUUGACAUGUAGAGGAAAACUGCAGAAAUGUAGUCCCCCGCAAGGGUCUCUAUGCAGGUGGUGCAUGGUUGUCGUCAGCUCGUGUCGUGAGAUGUUGGGUUAAGUCCCGCAACGAGCGCAACCCUCGUCCUAUGUUGCCAGCACGUAAAGGUGGGAACUCAUGGGAGACUGCCGGGGUCAACUCGGAGGAAGGUGGGGAUGACGUCAAAUCAUCAUGCCCCUUAUGUCUUGGGCUUCACGCAUGCUACAAUGGCCGGUACAAAGGGCUGCAAUACCGUAAGGUGGAGCGAAUCCCAAAAAGCCGGUCUCAGUUCGGAUUGAGGUCUGCAACUCGACCUCAUGAAGUCGGAGUCGCUAGUAAUCGUAGAUCAGCAACGCUACGGUGAAUACGUUCCCGGGCCUUGUACACACCGCCCGUCAAGUCACGAAAGUCGGUAACACCCGAAGCCGGUGGCCUAACCGCAAGGAAGGAGCCGUCGAAGGUGGGACUGGUGAUUGGGACUAAGUCGUAACAAGGUAACCGUA
rnacentral:rRNA from 1 species